AUAUCUCUCUGCUAAUUAAAGUUUUCAUCUUCUACAAAGAACAAGGUAAAGCAAGAAAGCCAAGUAUCUUUCUUUCUCCGUCUCUGUGUGUUGUUAGUUACUUUUCCACUAUUUUAUUAGUAGCUAUUACCUCUUAUCAGUAUAGCUAUAAUUACUUCUUUCUCUAUAUUUUUUUCUAGUUGUUUAUCCCAUUUCAAAAAUUAAGUUCCAUUUUUUCCCUAGUUGUAUGUUGUGGUUGUUUGUUCCUUCUACUCUGAUUCUACUACUUGUGAGAUUGUUAUUUACUGCAUAUUAAAUAGAAGUGGAGGUUUUGAAGGGAUUGAGAACCAUGCUUAGAGAAUAGAGAGAAAUAAAGAUAAGUUAAAAUGAUUGCUUUUUGUUUUACCAUUAAUUACUGCACUUGAUGUUGUUAUUUGGCUGAAAAUCUCCGCUUAUGGGAGAAAACAUGUUGUCUCACACAGUAUAUGAGUAAUGAAUUCAUGUUAACGUUUCAUUUUGGUGUUGAGGUAGUCGAUUUUAGGAAUCAAUUAUUGGUUAAUUAAUUGCCUAUAAUAUAUGUUAUGGGGUUUUCUGAGCUUUAAAUUAAGGGUCCAUGCAAAUUUUCUGUCAACCUUUGAAGCCUUGAGUAUAUAUAUAAGAUGUAGUUUUCUGAUCUACCAAUAUAUAAACUUAUAAGUUUGGCGAUAAGCGUAUAUAAAAGAGAGUGUGUGUGUGGCUUAAUAAUAAUAAGAAUAAUAAUAAUCAUUCUCUUUCUACUUAGCAGCUGGAUUAAUGAAUAACAAGUGGGAUUUAUUACUCGAUGGCAAGGACUAUAAAGCCUGUAGUAGGGUGUUUCCCAGGAGUGAUCAAAGGGAAGAGAGGACAAUUUGAAGCAUUUCAGGUUAGCUUAUUUCCUUGUUUUCUUGUUUUUUUUUACCUGGUCAUGGUUCCUUUUCUGAAGAUUGUUGUUGGGUAAUUCAAAUUUAUUGAAAUUGGCCUAUGAAUUACGUAGACAUGCCAGUUUUUCGGUGGUUAAGUUUGCUGAGACAUGGAGCAAGAACCCUAUCUGAUUAGCUGUAACUAGAAAAUGAAAAUGACAUCCUUUAAUCGUUUUUACUCUCUUUGUAAUACAAUAACAACAACAAAACAACCAGUGUAAUCCCACAAGUGAGAUCUGGAGAGGGUAGUAUGUACGUAGACUUGGAGAGCAUAGUGUGUACGUAGUAGCAGGGGGUACUUCAUUAAAGGGUCGAAAAAUUACACUGCAUAUAUAUACAUAUAUAUACAUAUAUAUACAUAUAUAUAUAUACCGGGUGUCCGAGUCUUUAAGAGCUCCAACUAAUCUCAGGGGUGUACAGGCCCUCGGCAAGGAGUUUCCCGCAAGCGCAAGGAGUUUCCCGCAAGCGCAACAGGGUUAAUUCCGAAGGCCCUUAGAAAUUAUUUGCACCCACUGCGUUUCGAACUUGAGACCUUGAAAGGGAGCAAACCCCAAGGCUCAAGUCAAUUGCCACCAUGCCAACUCCUGAGGGUUACACUGCAUAUAUAGGUAAAAUAUAGGCUUUAUAGGUAUAUAACAUAUAUUGAACACUUUUUGUCGGAGAAUUUUGUUCACCUUUUCCAAGUUUGAACACACUUGAGGAAAUUUCUGGCUUCGGCACUGCGUAGUAUACCUUACCCCCACCUUGAAGGUAGAAAGGCUGUUUCCGAUAGAUUUUUCCUCCUUGUAAUAAUUAUAGAAGUUAAAACAAUCUGGACAGAAAGUAUGUUGCUGUUUAAAAAUUAUGUGGUAUUGCAUACUGAUUGCUGAGAAUCAUUGCCUCGUUGAAGAUUUUGAGACUUGGGUCUUGGAUCUUCACUAACUUUUUGCUUGAAGUCUGCAGUUUCUUGGGUGAUUCAUUGAAAAAGGAUAAUUAUCAUUAAUAAAAGGAAUCAUGAUUUGCAGUUGUCAAUCCAACAAAAUUCAGAAAAUGCUCUAUGCCCUAACCAACUACAAAAUUAAAGGUGGCAAGGGCUGUAAUUCCUUUUGCUGAUCCUUUUGUCAGCACAGUGUAGUUUCGUUUCUUUAUCCUUCCUCCUGUGAUGUGAUUCUUGUAUGUGAGACACUGUACAGUUAAUUCGUCGUCAUCUUGAAACACAGAUUAUGAUUAAUUAAUCCCAUCCUUUUGGUUUCACCGGUUAAGUCACCAGUGGACUGAGUUUGCCACCAUAGCUUCAUGUGAGGGCUGCGCUUACUCUUACUGGUUUUAGACGACUUACACCUCUUCGCAUAAACUCAAAUGCCAACAUAAACAAGCCAAAAAAGAACACCAAGAAUAUCUGGAGCCUUGCUACAAUGUCAACCAUGACAGACACAUUGCUUCCCUCGGGAGAACUUUUUCUUGUAGGUGGGGUUAUACUCCAUCCUGAUACAGACAAUCAACUAUUAGAGUGAUGCAACUUAACCAAUAAGCUUAAAACAAAUAACGGGACUUGUGAUUCAUGGAAGUAUUUUGUGUCGUUCGCGCUCGUUACCAUAUUACAUUGUCAUUACCAUUGUUUGCUACUUGGUUGUUUUAUCCUAUCUCCACUGUUCUUUGCGCCGAGCAUCUAUCGGAAACAACCUCUAUCUUUAUAAGGUAGGGGUAAGGUCUCUCCCCAGACCUCAUUUAUGGGAUUGCACUGGGUCGUUGUCAUUCUUGUUGUUGUUGUUAUUGUUGUUAGUGAUUCAUGGAAGUUUAUACAUCCUACAGAGACAUUUUCCCUCUAUCUCCCCCUAUUCCAAAUAGUCUAGUUCAUUAUGCAGCCUUUUUCUUGGAAGAGUAGGUAAGAAAACAGAUAUAAGUACUUACCGGUGCUUUUCUUGGGCAAAUUUGUCCAGUCAUACGGGCUAAUCUUACUUGAAGAUGCCUUGAUCAACUCAAGAAGUGCGUCAUUGACCUAAAAUUUUUAUAAUCGUCAUAUACUUCCAUUAACAAUUAGCAUACAUAUGACUCCAGCCACACAAAUGCCAAUAGAUUGGACAUAUCUAAAAUUUUGUAUAUGCUGAUAAUCGUCAUAUACUUUCCAUUAACAAUCAGCAUACAUAUGACUAAAGCCACACAAAUGCCAAUAGAUUGGACAUGUCUAAAAUUUUGUAUAUGCUGAUUGACUCAUAAAUAUUGAAGUGCAAUAUAAUAAUUUCAUUUGAUCAUGAUAUCCAUGUGAAUGUUUGAUUCUCCUAUUUAUUUUAUCUUUUUCAAGAACCGACAAGUUGUCUGCUGUCGAAACAUUCAUUGAUGUUCUGCAUGACACCACAGGCCCUAGCUCUGAAAACAAAAAUGAAAAGAGAAAUACCUGCUAGAUCUAAACAGUCUGCAUUGUAUAAAAUACCCUCUCACUUGCUAAAAAACCAAAAGCAAUAAAAAUACUCAGGUACCUGAACACUUGGAAUAAUUAUCAGAUUAUAGUGUCCAGUGUGCUUGAAAGGAUUCUAGUAUGCGUUGACCCAUUUUCAACCCGUUUAAACAUGGGUAGGUAGAGUAAGGUUUUGUUACGGGCGGGUUGGGGGGGGUUAAAGCAAUUUGGGUGAAAUUUGGUAUUUAUGUGGUGUUCACAGAUACAUUGCACAAAUCAUUUAAAGCCACAGGAGAGUACAAAAACUUUGAGAAUCUCAUAGGGUAUUAUGCAUUUCAAAAUGUUCUAUUAGUGACUCCACCAAAAGGUUGAUUUUGGCCUAUUAGUGACUCCGCCCAGUGCCAAGUCAUUGAUUUUUUACAGCGGCCAACUGAUCCUCAGAAUCACUAGAAAAUUGCAGAUCAAUAGUUCUUAGAUGAGACCCAUUCCCCCAGCUCUUUGGAGCAAAUUCACAAUAUAUUAUAUAGAAUCAGAUGCUUUCUUGACCUAUAUCUUAGUAUGCAACUUUUACCUGAUAUGCAGAGCACCUAUGGUUCUGUCACUAUUAGAAUAAUAGAUGCAUAUAAUAAUACCUCUUCUGUCCUUUCAUGACUAACGAGAUGUCCUCCAGGAAGCUCUACCAUUCUAGCAUACGGAUGUAAUUUCUUCGCAAGACUCUUCGCGUGGCUUAAUUGAGCAAUGACGUCGUCCCUACACAGAAGAAAUAUUGAUUUAAAAUCUGGAUAACCUUUCAAAAGAAACGGAUUUACAUCUAAACAAUAUUUCUGGCUGUUUGAGAUUGUAUCUGUAGUGGAUAAUGCCUUCAAAUUACAGAUGAAUAUACCUGCCAUGAAUAACAGAUAUGAGGAACCCAGCAGAGCAGAUAGAUUCAAGAUCAGCCCGCGAUAGCUUAUGAGUCCAGCAAGCAUUUAUCUGCCCAUCAAAUCCACAAUUUGACUGCAUCCCAGAUGCUGCUAUGCCUUUGAAGUAUUCCUGCCACCCAAAAAAAGACCCCAGUGAGCACCUUAGUAUUGUUUCUUGUAGAUUACAAGAUAAAAAGAUGCCCAAAGAAACAUCUAGAACAUAAUGUGCUUAGGUCACUCACUUGAUAUAAUAUUGCUCUUCGGGUUUUAGUUCCCACAUAUUCCUCGAGGUAUUCCUGUAAAGUAAAAAACACAGAUAUGUUAGUUACAAAUCAUUCCCUGGCCAUGAAAAAUGGUAUCUUAUUACAUCUUUAUAUCUAGUCAUGGUCAACCAACUCAAUCAGCAAUCUUAUAAAAAAUAAUGCACAUGAAACCGUGUUUAGACAUGGCAUGUUCAUGCAUCUUUUGAGAAGGAAGGAAGUGAAGCCUCUUAUUUGUCAACACUAUUAAAUGAACAAUUAAUCAACCUUUGAGUAGUGGGUGUCUAAAUCAACAGCAGCCCUCUGCUCAGGAGUUUUUGCCUUCAAAAAGCGGACUGCAAUAGAUAGAGUUUGACGAUCGAGCUGCAGCAAAAAAAGACCAUAUGAGCACGAGAAUAAACACAAUAACGCUUUCUUUGAUUCAAGUAUGCAAUGAGCAACAGGCAGAGGAGGCGUUGUGUUUUAAGGUACAACAUGAAUUUAGCUUGCAUCUAUUUAAUGCAAUUAUCAGAAUCAUUAAUUUUACAGGAUCUUACUCAACACAAUAAUUUAUUUUAGUUAUGCAAACAUGGUGACCAUUUCUUUAGUCUUCAGAUCAACUGCUUGACUCUACGAGCAUCCAGAAAAGUUGGUGGGACUAGGAAGUAUAUUGGAUGGCCGUACCACCUACCAAACUACCAAAGCAGCAGGUUGACAUGCAGCAUUUCACUGGAUUAAGGCGUUGAGUAUCUCCUGGGUCCUUCGAGAGCAUGAAGUAGAGGUAGAGUAGGAUUACCUAAUCUACAAAUAUAUACCAUAUUUCUGAUAUUUAUAUAUCUCAUUUGGAAGCAUGAGCAUGCAAGCUCCGACUUUCCUCGCAUGUGGGAUUGCUACUACAAUACUGUAGUUGUAAGCGUUUGCAUCUUGAUAUUUCUACAUCUCAUUAUAAUUAAUUCAAUUGCAGGGGGAAAUCAAGUGAAUAUAUGCUACUGAUUGUUACCAUAAAAACCAGCCCUCCCUCCCGCCN
rnacentral:lncRNA from 1 species